ACAUAGCUCGCGAUGCGUGGC
rnacentral:misc_RNA from 1 species